rnacentral:tRNA from 3 species
GCGUCACUGGAGUAGUGGUUAACUCGUUGCCCUCCCACAGUAGAGAGGCAGAAAGUGAGUCUUGCAUCCCAAAAUGUUGAAUGAUUCACCGCUGACCAAAAUGAACAGCACUGGUUCGAACCCGGUGUGACGCA